UACGUAGGGCGCAAGCGUUGUCCGGAAUUAUUGGGCGUAAAGAGCUCGUAGGUGGCCUGUCGCGUCGGCUGUGAAAACUCGGGGGCUCAACUCCGAGCUUGCAGUCGAUACGGGCAGGCUAGAGUUCGGCAGGGGAGACUGGAAUUCCUGGUGUAGCGGUGAAAUGCGCAGAUAUCAGGAGGAACACCGGUGGCGAAGGCGGGUCUCUGGGCCGAUACUGACACUGAGGAGCGAAAGCGUGGGGAGCGAACAGG
rnacentral:rRNA from 1 species